UGGCCAGCUUGCUCCUGUGAUACCAACUCUU
rnacentral:piRNA from 1 species